rnacentral:rRNA from 1 species
CGCCAGACUCCUACGGGAGGCAGCAGUGGGGGAUAUUGCACAAUGGGGGGAACCCUGAUGCAGCGACGCCGCGUGGGUGAAGGAGCGUUUCGGCGCGUAAAGCCCUAUCGGCAGGGAAGAAGGAGGACGGUACCUGACUAAGAAGCCCCGGCUAACUACGUGCCAGCAGCCGCGGUAAUACGUAGGGGGCAAGCGUUAUCCGGAAUCACUGGGUGUAAAGGGAGCGUAGACGGCUGUGCAAGCCUGAAGUGAAAGGCGGGGGCCCAACCCCUGGACUGCUUUGGGAACUGUACGGCUGGAGUGCAGGAGAGGUAAGUGGAAUUCCUAGUGUAGCGGUGAAAUGCGUAGAUAUUAGGAGGAACACCAGUGGCGAAGGCGGCGUACUGGACGGUAACUGACGUUGAGGCUCGAAAGCGUGGGGAGCAAACAGGAUUAGAUACCCGUGUAACG